rnacentral:misc_RNA from 1 species
AGGUUGUUUAUAUGUACAUGAAUAAUAUAUUUUAUCUGCUUUUUCACCACUUAUUUCACUUUCAUACUGUACAUUAUGUCAGGAGGGGUUACUUUGUUCAAUUCACUUAUACAGUGUCAGAUCCAGGGGGAAAUUGAGAGGCCAAAUAAAUGUUAUUUCUUAUGUCUUAAAUUCUAUAUUGAGUCAAAAAACGUGUUCCUUUUCAUGUAAUGAAGCCUGUCCCAGCCCCCCCCCCCCCAUUUUAUCUCAGGUAAACUUGAAUCUGGCACUGUUAGAUCUUUAUUCAAUACCCAGUGAUUUCUGUAUCAUUUUAGAGUGAUAUUCUGUGUAUGGACCCUAUGGGGUGUUUGUAUUUCUAUGCAAUGCAUACAGUUUUAUCUCUUAUAGACAGGGAUUAUGUUUACUGUAUAUUUAUUGCAUUUAUUGCACAAAAAUGGCUUUUUGAAAUAUUGUUUAAAUUGAAAUGUUCUUUUAAAGUAUUUUCAUUGAACAGUUGAAGAUUGACAAAUGAUUAAUUAUCUAUAUUGAGGUUUUUUUGACAUUGCUUAUAAUAAAAACAUUCAACAGUUAU